rnacentral:misc_RNA from 1 species
GAUGAAGAACGCAGCGAAAUGCGAUAAGUAAUGUGAAUUGCAGAAUUCAGUAAAUCAUCGAAUCUUUGAACGCACAUUGCGCCCGCCAGUAUUCUGGCGGGCAUGCCUGUUCGAGCGUCAUUUCAACCAUCAAGCCCCCGGCUUGUGUUGGGGACCUGCGGCUGCCGCAGGCCCUGAAAACCAGUGGCGGGCUCGCUAGUCACUCCGAGCGUAGUAAUACAUCUCGCUCAGGGCGUGCUGCGGGUUCCGGCCGUUAAAAGCCUUAUUUUACCCAAGGUUGACCUCGGAUCAGGUAGGAAGACCCGCUGAACUUAAGCAUAUCAAUAAGCGGAGGA